rnacentral:rRNA from 1 species
UACGUAGGGUGCGAGCGUUAAUCGGAAUUACUGGGCGUAAAGCGUGCGCAGGCGGUUUGUUAAGACAGAUGUGAAAUCCCCGGGCUUAACCUGGGAACUGCAUUUGUGACUGGCAAGCUAGAGUAUGGCAGAGGGGGGUAGAAUUCCACGUGUAGCAGUGAAAUGCGUAGAGAUGUGGAGGAAUACCGAUGGCGAAGGCAGCCCCCUGGGCCAAUACUGACGCUCAUGCACGAAAGCGUGGGGAGCAA